rnacentral:lncRNA from 1 species
GAGAAAAGCCUUAAUAAAGUUGCGGGUUUUUCCAGCCUCAGCAGCAGAACUUCUCCAGAACCCGAUCAGAACCGCCUCCUAACACUUAACUCUUUCUGUUGCAGUCAGAUCACAAACAUCUGGAGGUCCUUCAGACCAACGUGACGGAGCGCCGGGUCCAGACCGCGGUUCUGCUGAGCGUCAAGGCCGGGAGGGGGCGGGGCAUGGCGACAGGAGCGGGAACGCCAGGAGUCGAGGUCGUUCUGCAGGUGCGUUUUUGGUUUCUCUGAAAGUUUGAUGAUCUGACAGCGAGGGGGCGGGGCUUAUCCAGCUGAGCAUCCGUCCUCCAGGUGGAAAUAUUAGGAGAAUUUUGAUGAUUCGAAUUCAUGAAAACAUUGAAACGUAACAAACGUGGAUUUAAUAAACAGUUUUAAUUAUUUUAACUUGACUCUCAAGGUUCUCUCGGUUACCGACUGAUUGAGUUUCUAUUUUCCUGCGUUUCUCUCGCAGGUUCCCAUAAACCAUCCAAGUCCAAAUGGUCGGAGUCGGAGGUGCGCGCCGUGGAGCAGCACCUGAUGGAGUUCAUCCGGAAGCAGCGAGUGCCGCAGAAGUACGACUGCCUGCAGUGUCUGGAGGCGGAGCCUCGGGCGCUCAGGGCGCGCUCGUGGAAGGCCGUGAAGGACUACGUCCGGAACCGGAUCACCGCGCUGCGCAGGCAGAGCGGCUGCGGCGCGAAGCCCGCAGGUGAAGCCGCCGGCGGCCUCAGCGGGAGGAGGGGGCGGGGCCCGAGACGACCUCUGACCUCAGCGGCGUCUGCUUCUGUCUGCUGCAGGGAAACCCUCGGGAGAGAAAGCCAGAGCGGCGCCCCCCGUCCAGACGCGGGACGUCAGACCGGCAGCCCCCCCCAGAGCGGAUCAGACAGGAAACUCCAGGGCGCAGACCAAGGUGAAGUGGGCGGAGGCGGAGGUCCGCGCCGUGGAGAGGCACAUGAUGCGCUUCAUCACCCAGCACAAGGUGCCUCAGAAGAACGACUGCGUCCUGUGUCUGGAGGCGGAGCCUCAGGCGCUGCGGGCCCGCUCCUGGAAAGGCGUGAAGGACUACGUCCGAAACCGAAUCACCACGCUGCAGAGGCAGAGCGGCUCCUCCCGGCGCUCCAGAUCGGAGAGCUCUCGGCACAGGAGCGUCCUGCUGCAGCUGUAGCUGAAAAACCGCAGAAACAUUCCGGCUUGAAACGAAUGUUUUCCUUCGUUUAUGGAACUUUUGUUACCGUUUUAUAAAUCUAAAAGCUGAAGUUUUAUAGAUUUAUUGGAAGUUUGAAGGUUGGGAUCCACGUUUGGAGACUUAAGUCUAGUUAGAAUUACAUUUUUGAUUUUCCUUUGAAUGUUGAAGCAUUUUGUAAACAAACAAGUUCACUUUUCUGAGUAAAAGAUGUCAAAUAGAAACAUUUUGUUCAGAGGAUUUUGUUGCAAGUAUGUGGGUGUAAAUUGGGGCUGACUUUAUUUGAAACUUAAAUAAAACAAAUUGAAAAAAAUCUAUAAAUAUAUAAAAAAAAUAUAUUUAUUCCAUAGAUAAACAAAAUAAUUUUCUAAAAUAAAUUAUUCAUUAAUCAUUUCUUCAUUUAUUUUAUGAUUUAAAUCUUCUGUUUUUUAGGUUUCAAAACUCAAAAUUUUAAUUUCCAAACUUUUUUUCAGUAUAAAAGCUUUUUUUCACUUUCAAAUCUGAAAAUUUCAAAAUUGAAAGAGCAAAAAUGAAAGAGUUGAAAGUGAAAAAAUAUUUGAAACAGACAUAAAAAAAAAGGGAAUUUUUGCUUUUUGAAAAUUACAAAUUGUAAUAUUUGAAACUGAAAACAAUACAUUUUAUUUUAGAAUAGCAAAAAAUUUUAGACAUUUUACACCGAUAUUUUUUUUCAUUAUUUUUAUUUGGGUUUCAAAUAUUAUUUGGUUCAAUGGAGCUCCAUAUAAGUCCAGUUAGAAUUACCCUUUUUGUAAAAAAAA